UGAGUACUGUCAUGUGAACCGUGUCCGCGUUUGAGUGGACAUAGAGGGACAUAAACAACUUCUUCUUUUGACAGAGGUGUCUUUCAAGAGGACCUUUUCUUUACCUUGGGGAAGGUACUGGCCAUGCAAAUUGUGUUGGAAUACCACCAGACACCACAUAAACUUGUCAUUUAAACGAUUUUUCUAAGAUCUUCUCACCCGAAAUGUAGCGAACAAACUUUGUUACCACGGCGAUCGUGAACUCCUUUCCUUCGUCUCAACGAAUUGCAUUGAUCCACUAUUUUCUCUUAGAGGUGAACAGUGGAAGAUUUCUAUCCCUUCUCGUGGUAUUCAGAAACACAGCAACUUGUAGGCACAGGGAAACGAAACAGCCCAGAUCAACAAUGAAGCAACUUUUUGUCAAAACAAAACAUCAAAGCCUGACUAGCCUCGCUUUCAUGCAGCUCAUCCUGGGCACCGACUGAGUGGUCCAUCAUAUUUGCAUUUGGUGUAUUUCUUUGUGAAAAUCAAUGAAAUCAGCCACUUAAGGUAAAAUUCAUUUUAAUCUACAUCUGCUUCAUUUGUAAGUGGUUAAAUAUGUCACAUGAUUGGUCACAUGAUUUUAAAAGUGACCAGUAACAAAUGCGUGACUAUUAACAAAUGUGCAUUCACUGUUGCUUUGAAGUACAACCUUGCAAAAAUAAAAUCUGUAUCCCUUCUUUAUUAACUUAACAUUCUUUUGCUCUUGCUAUCGUCUUAGCAAAGCCUUUGGGAAUAAACACUGUUCUCUUUAUAUCACUUUUUAUCAGUUUAGAUCUAUUAUGCAAACGAGUCAGCAAACAAAAAAAUUAUAUCCAAAUAAAAAAUGAAGCCGUUGCUCGUUUCUGUUUAUCUAUUCACCACAAUUUUGCUUUUAAACAAGAAUAACAGUAAUCACAAUGAGUUUUUUAUACAUAUAUUUUAUUCAAUUCAAAUAUUUUCCGGUUUUGAAGAGGACAUUAAAGGCCAAACAGUGGUGCACUUUUGGUCAGUUAUUGAUAGGGAACAUAUGAUAAAGCCUUGUAACUAAUAAAAAGCACAGUCUGUGGUUUUGUUCUGUUAGACUGCCAAUGAUAUUAAAAUAGUUUUUUGUGGAGAAAACUGUCUUGCAAACACAGACCUGACCUUGUUUCUAUCCGGAUUCAUAUUGAGGCUCACAUAAUCCAAUGUGGCGGUGCCCAUGGCCACUUGGCUAGUACUCUUCCUACUUUGACUGUAAGUGUGCUAAUUCAAUCGCCAAAUUUCAAUUAAAUCAGUUCAGAAGUUGUAUAUUUGAGUUCAUUGUGAGUAAAGAUUCCAAAAGAAUAAUUUCUUACUUAUAGUAUUAUAUAUGAUGAAAAAUUAUAAAAUGAAGAAAAAUCAUUUUCUAACUCAAGAUUUCAUAAGACCAUUUAAAAAAUCCUACUAGCUGUUACUGUAUAAUUUUGGGUCUUUUAAAGUAUCUUUUCUUUGAUUCUGUUUAAAACCAUGAGCUCUGUUAUAUUACUGUUUUGAUUAAGUAUAAAUGUAUACAUUGACAAAUUUAGAGUGCUAUUUUCAUUUUUUUUGUAAAGACAACUGAGAUGAAAUUAUGCUUUUUGAUGGGUGUGCCACAUUUCUAAAUUUUAUUUCGUUUAAAGGUGCUUUUUUUUCAGAUUGAUUUCCAUGGCUAGUAAGGAACAAGAUAACCUGGUUUCAGUAUAACAUCUCCUCCAAAGUGACAAAAAUUGGUUAAAUGCCUUCAUUGGAUGGUAUGCAAGCCACAUUGGAGAUGAGGAAGAGCGUCUUGUUGAUGACGAUGACAUAAUAAGAAAAGAAGAAGAAUUUAGACGCGCAAUAGCAACAAAGGCAGAUGUACAAUCUAGUGUGAAUGAGUUGUAGCAGGAAAGUACAAAGCUAUGUUCGCUUUUUCAAGAUUUUAUAGCUUAGUCCAGAGCUAAGUCAAAGAUGUUUGCAUUGGUGUCAAGCCCUUUACAUUUCUUGUCUAUGACACCCUUCUAUCUGUGAAUAUUACACCUACUUUGGCAUUGAACCAUUAUCCAUGACAUGUAAUGCCAGGAGAUAAAUAUACUGUCAAGUUUUCAAUUUAAAUACCUCACCUUGCUUUCACAGUGUAUAGCUUGUUGUCUGACCUCUUACUUUGCUGAAACAAGGCCCACCCUGCUCCAUGCCUAAUUAAGAGAAGGAUAAGGCACACACACAAUUCAGAAUGCCCAAUUUGAGAAGCGAAACAUCAACCUCAAAAUGACCAAGAGCCACAAAUCCUAAGUUGAAAUCCAAGACAAUAAUUGUAGUUCUCUUUCAAUUCAGUAGCAACUCAAUCGUCCCUGUGAAACUGAAGCCAAGAAGCAGUUUACUUAGCAAAAUUUCCAGUUCAGGAGUGUGGAACAACUCCUGAACAUGUUCACCACGACAGCUUUAAUCUGCAGUUAGUGCAGUUGUGGAGAUUCCCCUAGAAUAAAUCUGUUGUAAUGUAUAUUCCUGCACUUUUGACAAAUUCAGAUUAAAAGAUUCUUAUGUUCUACUGAUGUUUUUCACAGGAUACAUGUACCUGUGGCAAACAGUGUCAAAGUUUUGCUCAAGUUUCUUUUUCUUUGCAGUCACAAAUUUUUCACGUUUUUUUUUAUAGUUUUCCUAUCCCAAGGGAGUACGGGCUCUUUAUGUUUGUUUUGUGUGGAAGUAUGCAAAGUUGAAAUCAUGUUUUUUCGAAGGAACAUACAUGUAGCCAUAAAUUUGCUUCAAAAGCUUCCAUUUGCUCGAAAUUUAACCAAGGGCAUUCUUGACAGUUGCCUUAACCAUUGCUUUUGUACAUUGCUGGCCAAGUGGGAAUUUAACGUUGUAAAUAUGGAAUAUAAGCUCACAAAUGUCGCAGAUAUUUUUCACGAUGAGACCCACUGUAAAGGUGGAGCCCAGCAUUUCUUUCCUUCAUCUCCAGCAAAUGUCCAAUAAGUGCGAAUUUAAGUUUACAAAUCUCACAGAUAUUUUCAUUACGACCCAUCACAACAGUUAUUUUUCAUUGCAACCCAAACCAGGCAGAAACAGAGACCAGGAUGCAUGGUGUGGAUCAAGUUUCAUGACCUUUUACAACAAGAAAUACAGUUUUGUAGAUACCGUUCAUCAGUCACAGAUUAAUUGGUCAUUGUUGAGAAGUCAUCUUUGAUAGUGUUAGCAUUUCCAUUUGGGCUUAUUUUUCUCUGCAGAGAGCCAUUCAAAGUUGAUGCAUCAAUACAGCAACCAAAACUUGCCACAUGAAAACCUUAAGGCCUCGUCUUAAAUGAUUUCUUUGUUUCUUGACGGAUAAAACAGAGAAAUUUAAGUUUUUAUUCUUAUCACCUGGAAAGUAAAGUGCAAUUUUUAGGUACUCUAGAGUCAUACUACAGUGAUCAUAAGCCUACAUGUAUGAAUGCAUUUCCUCAAAAGCACUGUGAUUCAUAUUAACAAACUCACGGUCACCUACAUGUAGAUAUAUCCUAAAACUAACAUCCAGUACAAAAGUGCAAUUCCUUUUCAUCACCGUCUACCAAGACUAAUCAAAAUAAUUCAUAUUUACAGUACUAUUACUCCAAAAAAAGAAAAUUACAAACAGAAAUUCCCUGGAAACACAUAAUACAAUGCCCAAUAUACCAUCUCUAAAAAUAAUAAAGCUCAGAUCAAAGCUGUUGACAUUAGUUUGGGAUAUCUCUUACGAUCUCAAAAAACAUAAAAAAUCACUUCCCAGAUGAUCCAACAAGCCCAAACACACAUUAUAAAAAAAAUACUACAACUAAUUUGAUUCACCUCUUCGAUUAGGUUUGCUUACAGAGCACUGAUUGAACACAGGAUCAUUGCGUGAUGCAGUUCAAGAGUUUUCAUUGGCUUAGCCAUCUUUUUAUAUGAUAUCAUUUUCCACAAAUUUAAUGCAAGCGUUCGCAUUAUUUUUUGAAGGUGGUUACAUUAUACCACAUUCUACAAAUAAGGUUAGUGUAUGCAUCAUUUUUGGGGGCGUUUUUAUUUUAUUUUAGUACUCUUUAUUUUGGAGGCAUUUUUAAUAAAACCAUUAUUCCAUUCACACUUGUUGGAUAUGAAGUGAUUCUAGCCAACUCUUAUCCAACGUGCACUCAUGGAACAAUUGGUAAGUGUACCAUGCUGGCUUAGCAAA